CGAAAGUGGCAAAAUUGGGCGGUUGGCAGAAUGCUUCCAAAUUCACAGAGUUUGCUGAGGGAGGGACCCCGAUACCCUGCAUGCGUCGGUGCCUCUGCCGGAGCCCUGGAAGGGGUGUCAGGGGAAGGCGAGCAAAAUGUUUCCGAAAUGCCGAAAAUAGGCCCGACAUGCUGACCCACGG